GGGAGCCCUUGUGAGGCUCUGCACUGGGACAAGGGUUUGAGCCCAGACUUGUUUCACAGAGUUGACCAGGACAGCGCUUUGCACAAUGAUCUCCAAAUCCUCAAAGAGAAGGAAGGAGCUGAUUUCAUCCUACUUAAUUUCUCCUUUAAGGUAAGCCUUCCCCCAGCUCUCCCUCCCUGGCCUGAGUUCCCUGUCUGCCUAAGUCUUGUGAGGAUGCCGGUCUCCUUCCCUGAAUGCUGCCUCUGUCUUUCUCAGGAUAACUUUCCCUUUGACCCACCGUUCGUCAGGGUUGUGUCUCCAGUCCUCUCUGGAGGGUGAGUGGCUGGGUCAGGGAGAGGGUGAAGCAGGGACUGGAAGCUCUUGCCAGGCCUGACUGACCGACCUUUCUCAUGCAGGUAUGUUCUGGGCGGAGGUGCCAUCUGCAUGGAACUUCUCACCAAGCAGGUGAGGCCCUUUCACUGUUGGCCCAAGAGCCUGGGUGGGGCCCGACAGCUGAGCUUCCUCCCCAUCCCAGCCUGGGCACAGGCGUCUGUGGCCCUGUUACCCUGCCACGUAGUGGCUGUCCUGGGAGGGAAGGGCACGGGCACUUCCAUAGAGAGGCACUGCCGCCUGGAGAAGAAGUGGAAGGUGUCUCCAGGAGCCCUGUCCUGACUCGCUCGCUUUGUCCCUGCUGUCCCCAGGGCUGGAGCAGUGCCUACUCCAUAGAGUCAGUGAUCAUGCAGAUCAGUGCCACACUGGUGAAGGGGAAAGCGCGAGUGCAGUUUGGAGCCAACAAAGUAAGGGGCCUGGCCUGGCGGGCUGGCUGGAGCCGAGUGCGUCGUGGCCCAGGCUGAGGGCAAAGGGGACACAGUCCCUGGGCUGCGAUGUUGGAGGAGAGGGCCUGGGGUGGCCACAGUGGGAACAGAGCAGGGCCUUAGCUGAGGGGUGUCCUCAGGGUUUGGGGGUUCAGGUCAGGAAAGGGAAGGCUGUGGGAUUGUGUCCCCAAGGGACCUCUCAGACAGAGGUCCUUAGCGUGCUACCAGGGUACCGCGCUGGCAGCCGGGCUUCCUGGGUCUCUGGGUGGCCGCCUGUGGAAGGGGAGGGGCAGUGAGCCACAGCUGGCGUGGCCUGACCGGUGGCUUCUCCCCCCAGUCUCAGUACAGUCUGACGAGAGCACAGCAGUCCUACAAGUCCUUGGUGCAGAUCCACGAAAAGAACGGUGAGGCCGGAGCCGGGCCCGGGGCUCUGGUGCUGGGCAACCCCAGGUUCUCACUCGGCCCGUAGCAAGGUCCCUCUGGGUUUCCGAGCCGUUCACCCACUCACCCACACCUGCCGGCUCUCCAGAGAAGGCCUGGAGGUGGUGUCGUGGGCAGUCUUGGUGCUGCCCUCUUCCUGACCACCCUUUGAAAGACUCUUCACCACCUCGGGUUGGGCUCUUCACUCUCCCUGUCCUUACAACCUCCAGGUAGGCAGCCUCCGCUUCCCUGUACCUCUCUUCUCGCACCUGGCAGCCUCCCUAGGACCUUCUUGCCUGGAGACGCUGCAGAUGUCCACGGUGACUGGGACAGGGAGGGCGCUCUGGGCCUGGACCUCGCUGACCUGGUGUGUUUCUUUGCAGGCUGGUACACACCCCCAAAGGAAGACGGCUAACCCUGGAGCGUCGCCCCUCCUCCUCCCCCAGGCACCACUGGACCAAUACCUUUGAAUGCUGUAUCUGGAUCUCACGCUGCCUCUGUGGUUCCCUCCCUCAUUUUUCCUGGACGUGAUAGCUCUGCCUAUUGCAGGACAAUGAUGGCUAUUCUAAACGCUAAGGAAAAAAAACAAAAAAACAAACAGAACUGUUUCAAGUACUCAAGACUGACUACAGACCAACAACCACCUUGCUGGAACCCUUGCUAGCAGGCAUUCUUAUAAAGAAACUCUCGAGCCUCCUUAUAUUGCUGGAAACUCAGCUGUGCUCCAGACUAGAGCCUCCUUACCUAUGCUAUGGAUUUUUAAUUUAUUUUCUCUUAUUUCAUGUACACUGCUUUUUUUGGUUACAGUGUAUGAUGGAUGUGUAUGAAAAAAAAAUGUAUCUUUGGGAAAACAAUUACAGUUUGUUAAUUUGAAGAUGCUGGUCUUGACUCAUCUUUAUUUUUAUUCCCACAUCCCACCCCACCCCCAUCCCCUGACUGCUUGGGAGGUGGGGGAGGGGUGCCAGGUCCACUGUGCUUUGGUAGCCAUGAGGCUGUGCUCCGCUAACCCAAGAAAUCUGGAGCUAAGCACCACCUGGCCCACCCCUAGGUUUCCCAAAGGCCCCUGCUGACUUACAGUGUAGCAGGCUGGUAUGAUGAACUUGAUUCUUAGGACUGCGUUUCACUUCUAGUUUCAGAGACUUUUCAAAUUUCUAAGAAAUAGAAAAUGUGGAGGCUCAAGAGGCUGCUUCAUAGAAAUCCUUUUAUGAGAACUGAGUGGGGCUGGGGCGCAGGCUCCUGCGUGUGUACGUGGUCUUUUCUAAUCACAGCCAUCCGCUGUCUAGCUACAACUCUGCAGUGUGCUUUGGCUCCUCUCCCUCCCAGAAAGUGGCUUCUGACUGGCCCUGGAUUGUGAUCAGUGGUAAGCUCUGCUCACCUUCCUCCUGUCUCCUGCUUCAUUUGGGGGUGUAGAAGAGAAAUGGCUCUUGAAGUAAGUUUGGCUGACUUGGAGAAUUGUGGACCCCUUCAAGUCAUUCUUGUAAGAUGCUGGUCCUACUAGAAACGGUUAGCUCUGAGGUGGGUUGUUGCAUGACCUGUGUCCUUACCCCAGGCGUGAGGAACUGCUGGGCCAGGAGGAAAGUGGGAGGAGUCUGUGGGGCUGGAGCAGGUGGUGCUGUGUUGUAUGUACUGCUGUUGUAAAAGUUUGGACAUGACUUUGCAUAUGGCGGGUGCUGCCUGUGUCUCCCUGUCAGGAAGCUUGCUUUGGGGCAGAGGCAGCUUUUGGGGGCUGACUGUGCCCACAGAGUGGGUAAAGAUUGAAAACAACAGAGGCCAGAAACAGCUAAGACAGACCCAAGUCUUAGGAAACCCAGAUCUGGGACGGCUGCCUGGGAACCUGUAGGAGGCCCGAGGAGCCCUGUGAUGCUUUAAGACACAGCAAUUUUAACUUGGCCAUUCUCCCCUCCCCCACCCCAUCCCGAGGGAUUCUAAUGUCUUGCUGCUUUAGGUGGAUGGAGAGUUCACCAAUCCCAUUCAAUGCUGCUCCAACUCUGCCCACACCCACCUGAUUAGGGGUGCUAAUACAUGCCGAGGUUGAGAUAAAGAGGGGACCUAAGGGGAAAAUUCAUUCCAUAGAGCUGAAAUCUGGUUUUCAAGGCCUCCGUGGCUUUCUUCUGAAUUUAUUACCAGCCCUGGCUGGAAUGUAGAUUGUGUUUUUAGUAAUGUGUACUGUGAGCUGUCCUCUGUAUAAUGUAUUUUGUAAUGUAUUUUUCUCAUCUACCAAAGGAUGAAACAAAUAAAAUUAUUUAAAUAGUUUGGCUCUAAUAAACUU
rnacentral:lncRNA from 1 species